rnacentral:rRNA from 1 species
UACAUGAAGCUGGAGCUACUAGUAAUCGCAGAUCAGAAUGCUGCGGUGAAUGCGUUCCCGGGUCUUGUACACACCGCCCGUCACACCACGGAAGUUGGGGGCGCCCGAAGCCCACUUAGCUAACCCUUUUGGGAAGCGAGUGUCGAAGGUGAAAAUCAAUAACUGGGGGUGAAGUCGUAACAAGGUACC